GCGUUACUAUGGUGCCUUUGGACUACUUCAUUAAAUCUGCAAAAUGGAGGAAGGUACAAAUGGUCCAGAAGAGUCUGAGAGUGGACAUGCCUUUGUCGCAUCUUUGUAUUCUUCCUGGGUUAUAGUUUCAAGUAAUUCUUUAGUUCGAAGAAAGAUAUAGUUCUUGAAAAACAAAACCCAAACUAUUAGUAUGAUGUAAGUGAUACGCGUGGAGAAUAACCAAUCAUCCAUCCCACUUGGUUCCUUUCUGUUAACUUUGGGAAAGACAUGAAGAAGCUGACUGUGAAAGACUUGGACGAAAAGCAGAUAGGACGCAGGUUGACAUGGUUCUCACCGGGCCUGCUCAUAGGCCACAGCAUGAAGGUGUUUACUCUGCCACAUGGCUGCUAUAAUAACAUGGUGGCUUCUAUCCUUUGUUAUUCAGUGUACAUGACUGCGCAUACUGACUGUCAUUUGUCUUAAAUCUACAGUUUGCUUCUGUCUUUCGUUAUUCAGUGUCCAUUAGUGACUGCUCCUAGUUGUUUGCGGUCAGCAUGAUUUAGCUGUCCCUGAUAAUUUGAUAUGAACUGCAAUGUUUU